GUUCUCAUUGACCUAAAAAGGGGAUUGAGAGUCUGACUUUUUCGUUUCCCUCCAGAGUUGAGCAGGCUACUAAAACAGUUGGCAAAUGCGCCAAAACUGAGGUGUUUGGUUUUUUUUGGAAGGACUGUCAUAGUUUAGGAAUGUGAGAGUGAUGCUAUCUCUUUAAAAUGCCCUUGAUGGAGAGGUGGGAUAAGUACAGACAUUUCCGGCUCUUGUCAUGCUCCUGUGAAUUGUCCAGAACACUUCCCAGGAGCUAGCAUAGUGCGUGUUGGGACCAAGGAUUGGCUGCUCUGGUGCUCUUCCUGUUUCUCAUCUUCUCCAGGGCGUGUGGUGAGGAAAGUGUGGCAUGGUGUGCCCCAUCCUUUACUGUGCUGGCUGCCCCAAGUGUGGGAGUCAGUCAUUUGGAGGAACUGGAGGACAUUUAGCCUGGAAAAGAUGAUGGGGACCGCGACAGCUCUGUGUGAAGUAUCUGAAGAAGUGUCGUGUGAAAGCAGGAUCAGAUUGGCCUGGCAGCCCCAGAGGGCAGAACUGGGAGCAAGAAGUUGCAGAGACAAGUUCCCGCUUGAUGUCAGGAAAACCCCACUGAAAAUGAGAACUUUUCACACAUGUGGGAGGGGCUGCCUCUGGAAGAAACAGAUCUCCCCACACCCCACCGUGGUGGUCUGAGCAAAGGCUCAGUGCCAACAUGGCUAGUCUAAGGGAGAUUCUUUUGGGGUGCAGGCACGUGCUGCAUGCUGCAGAAAUCCCAUCCAACUCUGAGAUUCGGUGACUCAGUGAAAAUUGAUUUG